ACUUUAAACCUGAUUUUAAACUUGGUAUCAAUCGAUUUGGUAAUCGAUUGUUCCCAUAACUGGUUGUUUCUGUGACUUGCUAAAUCGAUUGCUCAAUGGAUUGCCCAGUCGAUUGUCUAAUCGAUUGAUUGUAUCCCAGAACUUAGGUUUCACUUAAAAACAUUUAUCCAAUCGAUUCCUCAAUCGAUUGAUGUAAUGAAAACACUUGUUCUGAGUCAGACAAUCGAUU
rnacentral:lncRNA from 1 species